GACGAACGCUGGCGGCGUGCUUAACACAUGCAAGUCGAACGAUGAAGCCAGCUUGCUGGUGGAUUAGUGGCGAACGGGUGAGUAACACGUGGGUGAUCUGCCCCAAACUUUGGGAUAAGCCUGGGAAACUGGGUCUAAUACCGAAUAUGACCGAUACUCGCAUGGGUGUUGGUGGAAAGCUCCGGCGGUUUGGGAUGGGCCCGCGGCCUAUCAGCUUGUUGGUGGGGUAAUGGCCUACCAAGGCGACGACGGGUAGCCGGCCUGAGAGGGCGACCGGCCACACUGGGACUGAGAGACGGCCCAGACUCCUAUGGGAGGCAGCAGUGGGGAAUAUUGCACAAUGGGCGCAAGCCUGAUGCAGCGACGCCGCGUGAGGGAUGACGGCCUUCGGGUUGUAAACCUCUUUCACCAGGGACGAAGCGAAAGUGACGGUACCUGGAGAAGAAGCACCGGCCAACUACGUG
rnacentral:rRNA from 1 species